rnacentral:rRNA from 1 species
GGCUGUAGGGCAAGCCAAGACUGCGUCUUCAGAUGUGAAUUGAUUCAGGUGGUGCGAAUUAUGGAGACGGGAGCUGAUUAUCUUUGUGUGUGGUUUGAGAUUCACUGGGGAGAAACCAGAAUCUUGGAAUGGUGGCUGAUGCGCAGAGCUCAGAUUCAAUGGCUGGCAGGUCAAGUUAUGCUGCCGAAAAGCACGUUGACAGGUGUCUUGACAAAAGAGCCCAGGAAAAGGCUCCAAAGAAAAAUCAUAAAGCUGAACGAGAGAAACUUAAACGUGACCAGUUGAAUGACCUUUUUGUUGAGCUCAGCAGUAUGCUAGAUCAUGAUCGACAAAAUAGGGGAAAAGCUACAGUAUUGGGUGAUGCUGCACGAGUACUGCGAGAUUUAACUACUCAAGUUGAAUCUCUUAGAAAGGAGCAAUCUACUCUUCUAACUGAGCGCCAAUAUGUCGGUUCAGAGAAGACCGAGCUGCAAGAUGAGAAUACUACACUCAGAGCCCAGGUAAUAGAACUACAGAACGAGCUUCGUGCAAGGAUCGGAAACAGUAGCCUGAAUCUAAGCAGCCUUGUGGUGUCACAUCCAAUAGGGAGCAGCUGCACUACUAAUUUAGCAACCCACCCAACGCCGCAUGAUACAUGGAGCAAUGUUUCUAAUUUAAGCACCAUGAGCAUGGUGGCCCCAACCAACACACCAUCUCCACUGCAGAAUCAGCAGCAUCACUCUGUUGCUUCUGGUCAGGUUGCAUUACGGCCUCAGGAGCUCCAGCUCUUCCCGGGGACAUCAGCAUCAUCGGACCGAGAAUGUUCCCGGCAUAGAAGCAACCCAGCUACUUCGAGCCUUGCGGAUUCCUUGCCUGGACAGCUUCGCCUCAGCCUUCCACCAACAUCCCAAGAAGAAAGCAGCGGGGGCGGUGGCGCACCGGGAAAUAGAAAAGAACGAAAAACCAGUUAGCCAGUUGACGGGUUACAACAAAUCAGUUCUUGGUGAUAACAGCUCUCUUGUAAAUACCAACAAGCUACUCACCUUACUGGUCCAAACCUACUAGUUGCUCUAUAUGUUUAAAAUAACUUUACAAUUCUGUUUUGAUACAAUUUUGCAGCAGGCUAAUCAGAUUUGUAAUCUAGAACUCACUAGUCUGUGACAUGUUUUCGUC